GAUCCUGGCUCAGGAUGAACGCUAGCUACAGGUUUAACACAUGCAAGUCGAGGGGCAGCAGGAUUUAGCAAUAGAUUGCUAGCGACCGGCGCACGGGUGAGUAACACGUAUCCAACCUGCCGAUAACUCGGGGAUAGCCUUUCGAAAGAAAGAUUAAUACCCGAUGGUAUAAUCAGACCGCAUGGUUUGAUUAUUAAAGAAUUUCGGUUAUCGAUGGGGAUGCGUUCCGAUUAGGCAGUUGGUG
rnacentral:rRNA from 1 species